UACGAAGGGGGCUAGCGUUGCUCGGAUUCACUGGGCGUAAAGGGUGCGCAGGCGGCCGUGUGUGUCAGGUGUGAAAGCCCGGGGCUUAACCCCGGAAUUGCGCCUGAAACUACAUGGCUAGAGCAUUGGAGAGGGUAGCGGAAUUCACGGUGUAGCAGUGAAAUGCGCAGAUAUCGUGAGGAACACCAGAGGCGAAGGCGGCUACCUGGACAAUUGCUGACGCUCAGGCACGAAAGCGUGGGGAGCAAAAGGG
rnacentral:rRNA from 1 species